rnacentral:lncRNA from 1 species
CUUAAAGACCAGGCUAAUCACUGCAGAGAUGGGGUGCUUGUUUUUCAUCAGCUGCAAGAUUUACAUAAAAAUCCCUUAAACUGGAAUUCAACAAAAGGAAUUAGAGAGUUAUGGGUCCCUCUUCCAUGAAGCUUGGUGGGUGGGGAGUGCUGAAGACAGACAUUCAACAGAACCGUUUGAGAGUAAGUUGCAGGCAUCAUGGCACUUCGUUCCUAAAUACUUCAGCGUGCACCUCUUAAGAACAAGGACUUUCUCCAAAUAACCACAACAUCACUACCACUGAAGAAAAUGAGGAAUCAUGACUGAGCUGGGCUUUGGAGGAAAGGCACGUUUUGGAUUUUUGAUGACUAGCGACAGGCGUCUUGGGCAGAGGACACAGGGUGAGCCCAAGCCCAGAUGUAGAAGUCUAUUUUCAUCUCUUCAUUUGACGGGAAACCACUCCUAGACCAGAAAGCUGAAGUGAUUUGCUG